AAAUGAUCUUAGCCAAAAGGCCGAGACAAGCUUAGUAGCUGUUCCUAUCAGUUUAAUAGCUGAUACAUCCUCUAUCCAAGGACAAUAUAUUAAAUGAAUUUUUGGAACUAGGAGAUGGAAUAGGAACUUGCUCCAUUCACUCCAUGCAUUGACCCAGGUAUUACAGUGCUUCCAGGAAUAGUGCACCCCCU